rnacentral:rRNA from 1 species
UUGACAUGUACGGAACUCGCCAGAGAUGGCUUGGUGCUCGAAAGAGAGCCGUAACACAGGUGCUGCAUGGCUGUCGUCAGCUCGUGUCGUGAGAUGUUGGGUUAAGUCCCGCAACGAGCGCAACCCUUGUCAUUAGUUGCUACAUUUAGUUGGGCACUCUAAUGAGACUGCCGGUGACAAACCGGAGGAAGGUGGGGAUGACGUCAAGUCCUCAUGGCCCUUAUAGGUGGGGCUACACACGUCAUACAAUGGCUGGUACAAAGGGUUGCCAACCCGCGAGGGGGAGCUAAUCCCAUAAAGCCAGUCGUAGUCCGGAUCGUAGUCUGCAACUCGACUACGUGAAGUCGGAAUCGCUAGUAAUCGUGGAUCAGAAUGUCACGGUGAAUACGUUCCCGGGUCUUGUACACACCGCCCGUCACACCAUGGGAGCGGGUUCUGCCAGAAGUAGUUAGCCUAACCGCAAGGAGGGCGCUUACCACGGCAGGGUUCGUGACUGGGGUGAAGUC